rnacentral:rRNA from 1 species
CGCGUAUACAAUCUGCCUUGUACUGAGGGAUAGCCUUUGGAAACGAAGAUUAAUACCUCAUGGUCUAUGGAAUCGGCAUCGGUACCAUAGUAAAGGUCACGGUACAAGAUGAGUAUGCGUCCUAUUAGCUAGAUGGUGUGGUAACGGCAUACCAUGGCGACGAUAGGUAGGGGCCCUGAGAGGGGGAUCCCCCACACUGGUACUGAGACACGGACCAGACUCCUACGGGAGGCAGCAGUGAGGAAUACUGGACAAUGGAGGCAACUCUGAUCCAGCCAUGCCGCGUGCAGGAAGACUGCC